GUCACCCAAGCUGGAGUGGUGUGGUGGUGCCAUCUCGGCUCACUGUAACUUCUGCCUCCUGGGUUCAAGCGAUUCUCCUGCCUCACCCUCCCGAAUAGUUGAAAUUACAGGUACCCAUGACCAUGUCUGACUAAUUUUUGUGUUUUUAGUAGAGACUGGGUUCUGCCACGUUGGCCAGGCUGGUCUCAAACUCCUGACCUCAAGUGAUCUGCCUGCCUUGGCCUCCCAAAGUGCUGGUAUUACAGGCGUAAGCCACCAUGCCUGGUUUAAAUCUGCAUCUCUUUAUAGUUGUUGCAGAUAUCUUGAAAUAUUGGCUGUUUGUUGCUACUUCAAAAUUAUGGUAGAUAGUAAAUCUCUACUAUAACUUAUUAUUUAAUAUCUUAAAGAAGCACAUAUUUUGAUACAUUUCAACAUAACUGGUUUUUUUUGAAUACUAUAUAUCUUAUUUUAUGCAUUUAAUAAUCAUCUUCAGAAAAUUUCACAGCUUCACCAGACUGCCAAAGGUGUCCGUGGUACAAAAGAGUUAAGAAGUUACAGAGUGCAAGGCUGUCCCCAGGAUCACCUCACUUCUGACACCAAUUGUCUGUUGAGGGGUGGUGAGAGUGGGAGGGGUCAGGUCUGACCACACUCAGAUCUGAUAAAUCAGCAGGAGGACUUCCCAACUGAAAGCUGUUACACUUAUGGUUUAUUUCAGUGGAAGGAAUGGGCCAAAGGAAGAAGUGCAUGGAGCAGAAAGUCCCGAAAGGGAAGCUUCCAGCUGUCCUCUCCCAGUAGACUCAUGGGCAGCGCCAACUUUUGCUGGCCAGGAUAUGUGACAGUACACGUGGAAUACUGCCCCCCAGGGAGCCUCACCUGAGCCUUUGUGUACAGAGCUUUUACUGGGUCUCAGGCAGGUAGACAUGGUGGACUCCCUGUGUGACUGACCAUCCAUCUCCAGCCCUUCUGAAGGUCAAGCUGAUGCUUUGUGGCUGAAAACCCCCAGCAUAAAUCACGCUGUUAGGCUUUUCAAUAUGGUUCAACACUCCCCAAGCAAACAAAGACACUCUUAUCAGGCAGGACAUCCCCAGGGCUUAGAGGUACCUCCCAGGAACCUCUGGCAAUGGCCGGACAUCUCUGGAUAAGGUCAAUUCUUUACUACGCAGUACCCGACUCUUGAAACUGCCACAGGGCUGCACACUUGGAGCAGUUGGAGGUAGGUGAGAGGGUGGAAGAAUUAGCUAACACAUAGUUGUAGCCACUGAAACACAAUUUAGUGGAAGAUUUCUUUUUGUACCUGCAAAGACAGCAUAGAGUUCAUUGCUUUCAGAGGCAACUGAGUAGUUCCAGGUUAAAAACAUCACUCGGCCUGGGUUUAGCACCUAACUCUUUUCAGUGUGUUUUCAUCUGUUGUCUCAUUUAAUCCUCAAAAGAGAUGGAAAGAAGGGGUGUUGUUAAGCCUGGCCUGGAGGUUGGGGCUCACCAGGGUCAUGGGAUGAGGGAGCAGGAGCAGCAUGAGGAGGGUCCUGGCCACUUCCCUCACCCUGCCCCACCCUGACUCCUCCUCCCAGGUUGUUCAGACAGAGCGAGUCCUGUGGCCAAGAAGAUCAGCAGAUAUUUUGCAGAAUCAGGUAUCUGGUAAUGCCCGGGUUGUACAGGGAGCUUAACCAGCUUUGGGAUGGCUGUUGUGGAGUACACCACACUGGGCGAUUACAUGAAGUCACUGCCCGCCUGAUGUGACCAACUUACUUGUGGGAAGGCAAGCUGUUUGUUGGAGUCUCUGAGGUCCAACGUGUGUUGACUCAUCUGAAGUAAGCCUUCGCCCAGGGUCAUGACCUCACCCUGAAGUUUGGUGUAAAUUCCAUGCAAUCUCUGUGUAAACAUUGGAAAGCCGCUCUUUCAGGGCGCUUUCCUUUAUGGGCCCUCCCUGAGGGGUUAAGCCAUUUCUGUGGGGCUGCAGCUGCAAUGGUGAUGACUGUACCUGACUCCUCUGCAGGAGGCCGAACGCCCUGAAGGGGAAGAAAGGCAGUGUGUCUGGGACUCUGCCCACUCCCUCUGACCUGUGCUGUUCCCUCGGGCUUUCUGGGGUGCAGCUGGGAUCUAGAUAAUCUUGUGUUUUCUCUGAAGGUGACAUCUGUCUUAACAAAUGCAUUUGUAUAUAAUUUGCGCAGGAAUUGGCACUAUUUUAUGGAGGUCUGUGUGGUUUUUUUGAGCUACCAUUUUUGCUUCCUGCUUACCUGUGAUGCUCGUCCAUAAUUACUGGAAGCACCACUCUUUCAGGCAGUAAUCUGAUGAGAUUGCAGCUCCAUGGGGCAGGGCCUGCCCUGUCCUGUUCACAGCUGCAUCUUGGCACCUAUGACAGUGCCUGCCAUGUAUGGAGCUUGCUAAAUGUUUGUUGAAUCCUAUGAGGCCACUCACUGACUUAGUUUCCUGUGGCUCCUGUAACAUAUACUGCAAACCUGGUGGCUUAUAACAACAUGCAUUUUUUCUCUUACAGUUCUGAAGGCCGGAAGUCCACAAUCAGUGUCGCUGGCUGAAAUCGAGGUGCUGGCAGCCUGCGCUCCCUCUGGAGGCUCUAGGGGAACCAGCCUCUGAUGGCUGCGGCAGCUGCGGCGUUUCUUGGCUGUGGUCACAGUCUCUGCCCCCAUGGCCACAUUGCCUUCUCCUCUCCUGUGUGUGCCUCCGCCUUAUUAGGGCCACCUGGAUAAUCCAGGAUCAACUCCUCACUUCAGAAUCCUGGAUCCAGUAGCAAAGUGCCCCUCCCUCUUUUCUGUAUUGGUGGCAGCUACAGGUAGUGGGGAUCAGGAGGUGGCUGUCUGCCACACUCACAAAGGGGAUGGAGACCUGAAGGGAGCUGGUCAGUGGUGGCAGUGUCACUCCUGCUGCCCAUGAGGCCAGAUGCCUGCUGGGGAGUCUGGCAUGAACAUGAGUUGGGGAAAGGGAGUUCCAUCCCAACCCCUUCCCUGAGGAUAAGCUUGCCUGGACAGAGAGCCUUCCAGUUUACACGUGUACGGUAUAUGGAUGUGCUUUGGUUAAGAAUAGGCUGAGGUGGAUAACCAGGCCUGCAUGACUCAGUGAGUUUAGAGUGCAGGCAUAUAGCUCUGCUUGUUAUCACAGCCAUGUAGCCAUAACAUGCGAAGGCCAUGCCUUGGCCCUAUGCCACUAUUGUCUGUAAAAACUAUAAUUGGCCUGCUGACUCCGUACAGACGCACUUGCACCCAGAGAGAGAGAGAGCCAGAGCUGUCCGACUUUGCAGAUGGACGGGGGAACCAGGACACAGCUCAGCCUACUCAUACCCAGAGAGAGAAGGAGUUCAGCUGCUGACCCUGAAGGCAAGGGAGAGCUGGCCACGCAGGUGUGUGUGGGAGCUGGCUGCUGAGAGGAACCGCUGAGCCGGAGCAGGCAGCCAAAAUAAAGGUGAACAGUGUAAAAGAGCUAGUGUAAGCUGCUAGUGAGAGAGCUCCUGAAUAAAAUUACAUUUCACCUGCCUUCAGUCCCCCGAAUGUUCUUUCAGCUAUCUGCUCAUCCACCCACUCCUUUCGGACCUCAGCUGGGGCUGGACCCCAACCCUGAGCGUAACAACAAGCGAUACUUUUGUUACGUCCAUUUUCACUUCCUUCAUCAGAAAUGUCCUGAGCUCUCCCUGGGCACUGUCCUGUGGCUGGUAAGAGGCAGAGGGCAGGAGCUGUGUCAGUCUUGUUCCUUGUUGUAACCCAGUGCCUGGACAUGCACGGUCCCCUCCGAUUGCUUGCCUCAGAAUCACUGGCUAUACUUAUACAAAAGCGGAUUCCUGACCUGCCUCCCAGACAGACUGAGUUCGAAUCUCUGGCUGGGACCUAGAUAUCUGCAUUUUAAAUAAGGUCCCAGAUGAUGCUGAUGUAUCAUCAACUAAGAAUUACUGGCCUGUUAGCGGUACUUCCAACACAGCCCACCAUGCCAGUACAAAGCAGGUGUGCACACUUUUGGAAGGAUCCCCAUUUUCCCCUGGGGAACUGGCCUUGGGAUAUGACCAACAGCGCCCCAUAGCUCUCAGAACAUUCCUGUCCCCAUGGGCCCUCGCGGGCAGGCUGAGCACAGCACUGUGGCACUCAGCGGCUGGCCUGGGAUUCGGUGGAAAUAGGUUUGCUGCUUCUCAGCCAAGUGGCCUGAAGCAAAUGAUUUAAGCUGUCUCGAUUUCCUCAUCUGGAUAAUGGGGACACAAAUAGAACCAAUAAAAAGUGUUGAGAAGACUGAA